rnacentral:rRNA from 1 species
GUCUUUAAAAGUUAAAAAUUUUGGCGGUAUUUUAGUCUUUUCAGAGGAACUUGUUCUAUAAUUGAUAGUCCACGAUAAAUUUUACUUUAUUUUUAAAUUUGUAUAUCAUCGUAGUUUGAAUAUUUUAUUAUUAAAUAUUUUCAGAUCAAGAUGUAGUUAAUAAUAAAGAAAGUAUGGGUUACAUUAAAAAUUGAUAAUAAAUUGGAUUUGAAAGUAAGCUCUAAAAUAUGCACAUAUCGCCCGUCGCUUUCAUUAUAAAAUGAAAUAAGUCGUAACAAAGUAGGUUUAUUGGAAAAUGUACCUAGAAUGCAAAUUAGAGCUUGAUAAGCAUUUUAUUUACAUUAAAAAGUUAGUUGUUAAAUUCAACUUAAUUUGAGUUUAAAAAUUUAUUAAAUUUGAAAUUUAUUAUUUAUUGAUUAAAGAAUUAGAAUUUUUAUUAUAUUAAUGAAAAAAUUUUAUAAUAGUUAAUAGUAUUGUGAAAGAAAAUUAUUUGACGUUUUAAAGAAGAUUUUUGUUAUUGUACCUUGUGUAUCAGGGUUUAUUAAUUUAUUUUUCUCGAAUUUAAAAGAGUUAAUUUUAUUGUUGAAUAAAUAUUUAAAAUAGAAAAUUAGUAAUGAAACGUUAUUCGUUUUUAAAUAUAUCUAGUUUUUUAAGAAAUAAAUUUAAUUAUUUAUUAAUUAUUAUACUAAUUAGGGAUAAGCUUAAAAAUAAAAUUUUAAAAAUUUAUAUUUGGAUUAAAUUUAUAGGAUUAGAAAUUUCUAUUUUUAAAAUGAUGUUAUAAUUAAUUAUUUUAAAUUUUUUAUUAAAAUAUAAAUUUAAAUAAUUUAAGUUUAGAAAUAAUGAUAAAAUUAGUAAGAUAAUAUUAAGGAACUCGGCAAAUAUUUUUUUCACCUGUUUAUUAAAAACAUGUCUUUUUGAUUAUAAUUUAAAGUCUGGCCUGCCCAAUGAUUAAAUGGCCGCAGUAUUUUGACUGUGCAAAGGUAGCAUAAUCAUUAGUUUUUUAAAUGAAAGCUAGAAUGAAUGGUUUGAUGAAAAAGAGACUGUCUCUAGAAUUUUAUUUUUAAGUUAAAAAGCUUAAAUUUAUUAAAAAGACGAGAAGACCCUAUAGAGUUUUUUUAUUGGGGUGAUAUUAAAAUUGAAAUAACUUUUAUGU